rnacentral:rRNA from 1 species
UACGUAGGCAGCGAGCGUUGUUCGGAGUUACUGGGCGUAAAGGGUGUGUAGGCGGUUCUUUUAAGUUUGGUGUGAAAUCUCCCGGCUCAACCGGGAGGGUGCGCCGAAUACUGAGGGACUAGAGUACGGGAGAGGAAAGUGGAAUUCCUGGUGUAGCGGUGAAAUGCGUAGAUAUCAGGAGGAACACCGGUGGUGUAGACGGCUUUCUGGACCGUAACUGACGCUGAGACACGAAAGCGUGGGUAGCAAACAGG